rnacentral:sRNA from 1 species
CCCAAAGCUGUAAACAUCACAUCUUCUGUUGUA